GUUCACCACGCGAGUGUGGGAUCGGGGGACUGUAGCACCAGUAUUGAUGUUGCUGCCGAUGCUGCUGAUGUCGCUGCUACUGCAAGUGGUUCUGAUGCUGUAACGUCGCUUUGCCGCUCAUCCGUUGAAGAAGAAGUGGAGGAGGAGGAGAAGAAGAAGAGGAUCGCGUGGGUCAGUUGGCCAGGAACGCGCCGGGUGUACAAGAAUUUUCCCGCUCUUCAGUGCGAGUGUCGGGGCAGGUCGAAGCACAUCGUAUGCUUGGAGGAGAGACCACGUGACAGUCCCAUUGUCCUGUUGUACCUAUACCCCUAGUUAUUUAUUCACCCUUGUGAGUACUCUUCCAUUCUAGUUGCCUUUGAUAGCUAUGUAUGCUUUUUUUCUUUGCCUGCUCCGGGUUUUUUUUAGCCGACAACGCCAUUGCGAGAGAGCAUGAGUGAUGCUUCAGUGUCUGCCUGCCCGCGGUGCCGGUUUGUUUCUCUUUUUUUCCCCUGCAUAUUUUUGUGAUGCCUGUUGCGGGCUGUGCUUAGUGCUCUGAAGGCGAUUUCUGAAAGGAUUUCGGGAGCUGUGGAGAGUGAUCCUGAGUGUUGGGUGUGUCUAUCUCAUCUCCGACGUCUGUGCUUUCACUGUUCACGUUUCUGGUCACAUCGGAUCCCCUCGACAACUUUAUCAAAACUAAAAGGAAAUAGAAGUCACAGGCCCGCCCUUCCCUUGCACUCAAAACGCACGCAUUCUUAAUCAAUCUCGAAAGAACCGAAGACAGUUUUCAGACUUCUUCAGAAACGAAGACUGGGUCCACCUAGAAUGUUAAAACAGUAGAUGAAAAGACUUUGGUGCCCAUUCACAUUUCUUUCGGACAUCCUUUGGAUAUACAAAUCUGAAUGUGCUUGGCAAAACGAGAGUACACAACUUUAAAUGUUAUUACACUUGUUGCAAGCAGGACGAUGACAGAGGAGCUGUGUCCCGUGAUGUAAUAAAAUUUGGAAUGUUUUAAUAAGAAACCAGCUUCGCUGCGAUACCUUCUGUUGGAGAAGUUUUGGUUCCUCUCCAUAUUUUGUGCUAUGGGAAGAGUAUUCUGUUCUCUUCAGUCAUUGGAUUAAAAAACCUUGUGCCGAUUUGCCACGAUGGAUAUAAGCCAGUGGAUUACUCUCAACCCUCGGAUUUCUGGUUUGUAUACGUUCCAAGUUUACAUUUACUUUCGUAAUUAUUUUGUUUAUUUCAUUCUUGGUGUGGUUGUAGUGUUUGUCUUGCUGUUUCUGUCGAUUGUGAUGAAGUAAUGUCUGCUGAUACAAUAUUAUAAAUUCAGAUGUUUUACGUAUUUGUAGGGAUGUCAAUGUGUAAGUAAGUAAGUGUGAGAAACAUUUGUAAGAGAACGAAA